UUAGAAUUUUUCAAGCAUUUUAAGUCUUCUACGACUCCCCCCAAAAUCACAUUCAUCAAAUCAACUUCCCUUUGCAAACUAGGGCAACUCCAAUCCUAAAAUUUCUUCCAUCCCCAUCUCCUAACAUCAUCAGAUUGCAGUCAAAUUCCCUCAUCGUCGGGCAUCGUUGUUUCUGUUGUCGCCAUAUCGGAACUCGUCACCUAGAUACCGGAAUCGAGUGCUAGCGGCGAUUGGUACCAACGAAUGAUUCCGUUGAUGCUAAUUGGCGGAUAUUAGUCGGGUUCAGCAGAUAUGUGUCUGAAAGUGCAUUAACUGCAUAAUUUAUAAUCUCAUGGUGAUCCCUCCGUUACAAGGUCAGGGAAUCUGGAGAAUGAUUCUUCAAAGGAUCCUAAGAUUGCUUACAAAUAUAGGUUGUGGACUCUUUCAUCUCAAUAUAUCCCUAAGUUGGAUCUGCAUUACUCACGCACACGAAGAUUGCGAGUAUAAGCGGCGUUUGGUGAUUAGCAUUCUUCUCAAGAGUCGAUUUUAUUUUUACUAUCAUUGAGCAAUAUAUGAAAGCUUUGUUUGGUAGACCUACCAACUGAAGGAACAUAUGAUCUCCUCUAAAGAUGAAGUUAUUAAAAUCAAAUAUAGUGGGUUGAGAAGGCUUAUGCUGGAGGAUGUUACGUUUAGUUAAUGUUGUGGGAUGUUGAGAGCUACGCGGGUUCCAGGUAAGGAUCGGGUUCAGAUGAUGAUAGCGGAGUCUUAAUGAGAGACAUGAUGGAGUGGACACAUGUUGUAUGUGAUGGUGGGAUUGCAUGCCUAGGAUCGAACACUUCAUAUGAUAACAAAGAAGAUGAAGAUGUCUAUUGUUUUAUUAGUGACACUUGUGAUUGUGUGAUUUAUUUUAUAUUGUAAAUAAAAACAGUUUUAAGUAAUCAAAUUAAUUUGAUAAA